AGAGUUUGAUCCUGGCUCAGGAUGAACGCUAGCGGCAGGCUUAACACAUGCAAGUCGAGGGGCAGCGGGAGUAGCAAUACUUGCCGGCGACCGGCGCAAGGGUGCGUAACGCGUGAGCAACAUGCCCGUAUCAGGGGGAUAAUCCAGGGAAACUUGGUCUAAAACCGCAUAAUAAUCACAGGAGGCAUCUUUUGGGAUUUAAAAUUACGAUGGAUACGGAUUGGCUCGCGUGACAUUAGCUGGAUGGUAGGGUAACGGCCUACCAUGGCAACGAUGUCUAGGGGUUCUGAGAGGAAGGUCCCCCACACUGGAACUGAGACACGGUCCAGACUCCUACGGGAGGCAGCAGUGAGGAAUAUUGGACAAUGGAUGGAAAUCUGAUCCAGCCAUGCCGCGUGCAGGAAGACGGCCCUAUGGGUUGUAAACUGCUUKUGUAWGGGAGCAAUAAGGGCUACGUGUAGUCUGAUGAGAGUACCAUACGAAUAAGGACCGGCUAACUCCGUGCCAGCAGCCGCGGUAAUACGGAGGGUCCGAGCGUUAUCCGGAUUUAUUGGGUUUAAAGGGUGCGUAGGCGGUUUUAUAAGUCAGCGGUGAAAUUCUCCGGCUCAACCGGGGGACUGCCGUUGAUACUGUAAGGCUAGGAUAUGGUUGCUGUGGGUGGAAUGUGUGGUGUAGCGGUGAAAUGCUUAGAGAUCACACAGAAUAUCGAUUGCGAAGGCAGCUCACAAAGCCAUUAUUGACGCUGAGGCACGAAAGUGUGGGGAUCAAACAGGAUUAGAUACCCUGGUAGUCCACACUGUAAACGAUGAUAACUCGCUGUCGGCGAUAUAAAGUCGGUGGCCAAGCGAAAGCGAUAAGUUAUCCACCUGGGGAGUACGACCGCAAGGUUGAAACUCAAAGGAAUUGACGGGGGCCCGCACAAGCGGAGGAACAUGUGGUUUAAUUCGAUGAUACGCGAGGAACCUUACCCGGGCUCGAACGGUGCAGGAAUACUACAGAAGAUGUGGUAGCUAGCAAUAGUCUGUAUCGAGGUGCUGCAUGGUUGUCGUCAGCCUCGUGGCCGUGAAGGUGUCCGGCUUAAGUGCCAUAACGAGCGCAACCCUUGUCGUUAGUUGCCAUCAGGUAAAGCUGGGGACUCUAGCGAGACUGCCACCGUAAGGUGUGAGGAAGGGGGGGAUGACGUCAAAUCAGCACGGCCCUUACGUCCGGGGCGACACACGUGUUACAAUGGCAGGUACAGAGGGGAGCUACCCAGCGAUGGGGUGCGAAUCUCGAAAGCCUGUCUCAGUUCGGAUUGGAGUCUGCAACUCGACUCCAUGAAGUUGGAUUCGCUAGUAAUCGCGCAUCAGCCAUGGCGCGGUGAAUACGUUCCCGGGCCUUGUACACACCGCCCGUCAAGCCAUGAAAGCCGGGGGUGCCUGAAGUUCGUGACCGCAAGGAGCGACCUAGGGCAAAACUGGUAACUGGGGCUAAGUCGUAACAAGGUAACCA
rnacentral:rRNA from 1 species